UACGACUACAUAUCAGGCAUAUCAAUAAGCGGAGGAAAAGAAACUAACAAGGAUUCCCCUUAGUAACGGCGAGUGAAGCGGGAAGAGCUCAAAUUUGAAAUCUUCAAGGGUUUACCUUUACGAAUUGUAGUUUAAAGAAGUGUUUUCUGUUGGAGUUUCGGUAAAAGUUCUUUGGAAUAGGACAUCAUAGAGGGUGAGAAUCCCGUAUUUGACCAGUUACUUUCAGCUGUGUGAUACACUUUCAAAGAGUCGGAUUGUUUGGGAAUGCAGUCCGAGAUGGGUGGUAAAUUUCAUCUAAAGCUAAAUAUUGGCGAGAGACCGAUAGCGAACAAGUACCGUGAGGGAAAGAUGAAAAGAACUUUGAAAAGAGAGUUAAACAGUACGUGAAAUUGUCAAAAGGGAAGCGUUUGACACCAGUGUUGUUUUCUCGAAAAUCAAUUAAAAAAAGUUGGAUUUUGUGUUGUAUUGACCUUAACAGCUUGCUUCACUCUUUCCAGCUUUUUUUAAUGCACUUUUCGUUUAACAAGUCAACAUCAGUUUCUUUUGUUGUAGAAGGGUCAUUGGAAGGUGGCUUUCUCUUCGGAGAAAGUGUUUAUAGCCUUUGAUCUCUGCAAUCGGAGAGACUGAGGUCUGCAGCGUAGAUCCUUCGGGGUUAGAUACAUUUGUGCUAAGCUACAGCUUUUCAUAGACAACUUGUUGACUAUGUUUAGUCUUGUAACUUACCCGCUUAUGCUAUUUUACCUACGCUUAGGAUGUUGAGCGCAUGUCUCUCUCU
rnacentral:rRNA from 1 species